rnacentral:ncRNA from 1 species
AACAAAAAAAGCUAAGCCUAUCGGAAGGUAGGUACAGAAAGUCGCGGAUCCAGAAUGAUGGAAAGCCGGACUGCCGAG